rnacentral:rRNA from 1 species
GGCCUUAUACAUGCAAGUCGAGCGCAUCCUUCGGGAUGAGCGGCGGACGGGUGAGUAACGCGUGGGAAUGUGCCCUUCUCUACGGAAUAGCCACUGGAAACGGUGAGUAAUACCGUAUACGCUCUCAGGGGGAAAGAUUUAUCGGAGAAGGAUCAGCCCGCGUCAGAUUAGGUAGUUGGUAGGUAAAAGCUUACCAAGGCAACGAUCAAUAGCUGUUCUUAGAGGAAGACCAGCCACAUUGGGACUGAGACACGGCCCAGACUCCUACGGGAGGCAGCAGUGGGGAAUCUUGCACAAUGGGGGAAACCCUGAUGCAGCGAUGCCGCGUGAGUGAAGAAGGCCUUUGGGUUGUAAAACUCUUUCGUCGGGGAAGAAAAUGACUGUACCCGAAUAAGAAGGUCCGGCUAACUUCGUGCCAGCAGCCGCGGUAAUACGAAGGGACCUAGCGUAGUUCGGAAUUACUGGGCUUAAAGAGCUCGUAGGUGGUUAAAAAAGUUGAUGGUGAAAUCCCAAGGCUCAACCUUGGAACUGCCAUCAAAACUUUUUAGCUAGAGUGUGAUAGAGGUAAGUGGAAUUUCUAG